UGUGGCCUGUGUAGGAUAGGUGGGAGGCAAAGAAGCCGAGGCGCCAGCUUCGGUGGAGCCGUCCUUGAAAUACCACCCUGGCCCCAUCGAGGUUCUAACCGCGGUGGGUGCAUCCCCACCCGGGACCGUGCAUGGCAGGCAGUUUGACUGGGGCGGUCUCCUCCCAAAAGGUAACGGAGGAGCACGAAGGUACGCUUGGCGCGGUCGGAAAUCGCGCUGUACGUGCAAGGGCAUAAGCGUGCUUGACUGCAAGGCCCACAAGCCGAGCAGGUGCGAAAGCAGGUCCUAGUGAUCCGGUGGUCCCGCAUGGAAGGGCCAUCGCUCAACGGAUAAAAGGUACUCUAGGGAUAACA
rnacentral:rRNA from 1 species